rnacentral:lncRNA from 10 species
UCUGGAUCUCCUGACCUCGUGUUCCGCCUGCCUCGGCCUCCCAAAGUGCUGGGAUUACAGGCUUGAGCCACCGUACCCGGCCAUUUGCAUUCUUAAUCAUCAGCACUUCUUUUUGACUACGAUUGUAUCUUUUCUUAACCUCAUUCCCUAAAAAUAAAAAAAAAAACCUUAUAGUAUAACAUAUCCUUAAAAUUUGCACAUAUCAUAGGUGUGAAACUUAAAGAAUUUUCAUUGAGUAAAGACACUCAUAAACAUAGCAAGGGAAUAAAAAAUGAUAUCAUUGGUAAAGCCUUUUAAACCUUUCUCUCUGCCCCUUUCUAGUCAUCAACCCCUGAAUAGCAAAUACCUGACUUUAAGUGUCAUAGAUAAUUUUGACUAUUUUUGAACUUAUCUAAAUGGAAUGUUACAAUGUAUACUCUGGCUUUUUUUUUUUUUUAACUUAAGACUAUUGUUAUAAGGAAAUGCUGCAUGUAGGCAUACUUAUAUAUUCUGUAUUCUUAUUACAGUAUGAAAUUUCAUUGUAUAUAUCAAUUAAUUUUUCCCAUGAUGGACAUUUGAAUUAUAUGUUGCUUUUGGUAGAUUUAUUUUCAUUUGCCUAUAUAUCUAGGAGUCAAUUUACAGAAUCAUAAGAAAUGAAUAUUUUGAGCUUUAGAAAAUGACUAAAGAAUUUUAACAACUUUUAUUAGUCCAUUCUCAUGCUGCUAAUAAAGACAUACCCGAGACUGGGUAAUUUAUUAAGGAAAGAGGUUUAAUUGACUCACAGAUUAGCAUUGCAGGGGAUGCCUCAGGAAGCUUACAAUCAUGGCAGAAGGGGAAGCAGACACGUUCUUCUUCACGUGACGGCAACAAGAAAAAAUGCAGUACGAAGUGGGGGUCAGGGGAAGACCCUUAUAAAACCAUCAGAUCCCGUGAGAACUUACUAUCAUGAGAACAGCGUGGAGGUAACCGCCCCCAUGAUUCAACCACCUCCGACCCAGUCCCUUCCACAACAAGGGGGAUUAUGGGAACUACGGUUCAAAACAGAUUUGGAUUGCAAAAACGACCAAGAACUCUGAAGUUAACUACCAAAAGCACCUGUAAGAAUUCCAUAGGGAGGCCGAGGCGGGUGGAUCACAAGGUUGAAGAAGUCUCAGAUGCUACCCAGCAAAAAGAAAGAGGACUUCCAAAGAGAACAUCUGUCUUAUUGGCAAUGCCUUUCCUACUUAUGAUUUUAGCUUUGAAAUUACCUUUGUGUUUGGCACUUCUGAGAUGGACUGAAUUGGUGAUUUUUUUUUUUUUUUAAUUUGAAGAAACAACUGACUUCUAUGUCAUAUUCUGACAAAUAUAAUUAUGUAAUUUUAGAAAGGCAAACAGGCCUUCUUAACAUUCUUUUGCAUCCCACCAUAGAGGCAGCCAUUUAUUUGAUAUAUAGUAAUUGGAACAAGAUAGACAGCAGUUGCCAUAUUCCUUUAGAAAUGUGCUGUGUGGGCCUGGUGCCACCCGCCCUCCCGCCUGGCUUAGCUAUCACUCCUGUUCACAUGCUUCCUUUCUUAAUUAGAACUCAAAUAUGCUGACAAUUUUUCUUGCUGUAAAAUUGCCUCUCUCUCUUCUUCGUGUGGGCAUCUGUAUGUUAUUUUAUUAUGAAGAAAAUCUUGGAUCUCUUACAGAAAUAGAGUUGCUGUGACAAGGAAAUUGUAUCCCUAUCUAGCAACAUAUUAUCUCAUCAUCUCAGGUAUCUUACCUAACCAUAGACCCCUGUGAUUAUCUAUUUCUAUUGAAAAUUGAAGUGUUUCUUUUUUUGUAAUGACAAAAUCAAAUGAAAGAACAGAUCCUUUAUUCAUCUUAAUUUACUCAAAUAUAGAUUUCAUAAACUUGGAAUGAAUAAGAUGCUAGAAUAGAAAAAAAGCAGUGACAACAUGUAGCUCCAGUUUUUCUUAAAUCUUUUGAUUUAAGGUACAGUGUAAUUUUAAGAGGACGACGGUUAUGAACGAAAGAAUAGAUAAGCAUAUUUUAGCAUCAGCAUUUGGUGAAAACAUCUAAGAAAUGGUAUCGUAGUUCUAAAAAUCUAAAUUUUGGUUUCAGCAAGGAAUGUUAAUAAAAAGACUGUGUAGCUCAAAAGCUAAGUAGAAACAAUGUAAGUGAAUGGCUUGCUUGGGACUAGAGCACUUUUACUCUAAAGGCAAUUCCAUAAGGACAUGAAAAUAUGAAGCUCAUAUGUGACAUGUAAAUGUGCAUGUGGAUCAAAGGAUUCUUUGGAUAAAUUCUUACUACAUAGGUACCUUAAUAUUAGGUUACCUGUUUUCUCAAGAUCAGAAUAUGUCACCUUCCACUAAGAGUAAUAAGAAAAGUGAUCCCAAACAGAAUUGGAAGUCCACAAGCUUAAGAAAAAGCAUUAACUUUGGCAAACAUAUCUUUGCUCCAUUUUUAAAACCAACUCCAACAGAGUAUAUUGUUUUCAUCAAUUCUGAGAAGAGAUGACUAUAAUAUUGACUGUCGCCUCAUGUGUUUCUGGGCACAAAUAAUUGUUAAGGAAGCUUCAGCACACUUUUUCCGAACUAGUUUUAAAGAGCACAGAUCUAUAAGGUUCAGUUCAAACCAUAAGCAGAGCAAGGUAUUCAAUAUAAUGAGAUCUCCAUCAAUGCCUCACUUGAUAGUUAAGUAAGAACAGCUUUAUCUGGACAAUAUCUUCAUGGCCUUGAUCAGCUAGGAAUAUCAGAAUAGAAUUCAUCAAAGCUAAUUUUCAGUCCUAAGAACAAUUGAGUAAUACCUUUGAAAAAGAAAAGCAACCAACUUAGGAUAGCUUUGCAGAAAUGCUAGUGAUCAAUACAUAUUUAAAGCACUUAAUGCAGACAAGCAUACUGAAAUAUCACUGUUCCUAACAGAAAGAUUUAUAAAUAAUUAUCUUCAUAUAGUCAUGGAAAUUAGGCACCAAAUUAAUCUAUUUUCAUUGGUUCCCUAAGGGACUUGAGACAUUCUAAGUUUCCUGAGUCUUCACAGAGAUGAAACCCCUGAAGGGUUAUCCCACAUCAUUAAAUUAAUAAAACUAUAUAAGCAAGUCUGUUUUUUAAAAAUUCAAGUUAUCCUUCUAUAUUAGUGCAUUUUCACACUGAUAGAAAGAACUACCUGAGACUAGGAAAUUUACGAAAAAAAAGAGGUUUACUCACCAUUUUUGGGGUUUAACAGGAAGCCACAGGAAACUUACAGUCACAGCGGAAAGCAAAGGGGAAGCAAGGACCUUCUUCUCAUCGUGGCAAGAGAGAGAGCUAGAGAGAAGGGGAAGGUACCACACAUGUUUAAACAACCAGUUCUCGUGAGAACUCUAUCAUGAGACAGCACCAAGGGGAUGGUAUUACACCAUUAGAAAUCACCCUCAUGAUCCAAUUACCUUCCACCAGGCUCCUCCUUCAACAUGUGGUGAUUACAAUUUCACAUACAAUUUGGGUGGAAACAUAGAGUCAAGCCAUGUCACCUUCUCAUUCUAUAUUUCAGUUCAGACUAUAUCAACUUACUGCUCACAUGUCUGGUCUAACGAAAUUGUUUCCUAUUAAGUGCGUGGUGACAGCUUGAGAAUCACUGACAGUCACUGAACUGUGAUGCAGAAAAUGACCCACUUUAAAAUGGGUUAAUGAUCAAACAUCAAUGGGAAAACUCACUGAAAAAAAGACAACUUCUAUUGGUAGUAUUGACUGCACAAUGGUCAACUGACCCCUUCCUACUUUCUAAAAUAAUAGAAUUAUUCUUUUAACAUUUAAUUCUAAAAGUUGUGUUUUCUAGACUACUGUCCACUCCACCCCUGUUUUGAAUAUUAACUCUUCUAGAUUUUCAAAUCAACCCACUUGUGCUCUUCAUGCUACAUUACACAUCUACUUGUUGGUGUCCUAUUCACCACCAUCUUGAACAGAUCAUUCUCUUCACUUAAAUCUUUCUGAUUUCUCUCCUCUUUACUUUUGCACAUAUUCUUCUUAGCAUCGUUGGCAUACCUAGGUAACAGUAUCAGAUUUUGACUGAUCGACUGUUAUUCUGUCACCGGACUUAACCAUUUGGCCACACAUUUAAAAGCCCAGAUAAGAAGCUUACACUGCUUUGGUAGGACUAGUGUUGAUGACUCUAAUUGUAGAUGUGUUUCUCAUUUGCCUUAAAAAUAUAAACAUACAAAUGAAGUUACUUUUAUUCAAACUUGACAAAUUUGACAUGUUUUAUAGUUUCAAACAUGGUAUUUCACUAUCUACCUCUGCUCCCUUUUUCACCAUCUUCUUUAAAAAGACUUUAUUUUAGACUGGGACACCCACUACAGUGAGGAACUGGAGUCCCUGGUUCAUGUGCUAAUGAGUACAGACUUAGUCAACUUAUGGAAACAUUUAUGGGGCAUGGGGUGGAAACAAAAAGAAACAAGCAAACAACCACUUGAAAUAGCAAUUAAAUAGUAAGGGUACCUUUCUAUGAUUUUCUCUAAUACAAUAUUUAAAAUUGCUAUUCAGUUUGCAUGUCAUCCAUCACCAAGAGAAUUUCUUAUGCUGCACUUACACUGUGCUCAAAAAAAUCAGUAUUAGCAGUGUCUCCAUUCUCCCGGCUGUCUAAAAUAUAGCAAUCUGACUUUCAAAUGGAGUUAUUUUUAUUAAUUCAUUUCAUUGUUAGAUAUAAAAAUCAAACCAGCAUACUUACUUUCCUUUAAUUUAAUGCACCAUGAUACCAAGGGUUUUAAUAUCUGGACUCAUGUUUUACUUUAAAAAUAAUCAUACAUACAUAACCUCUAACUUACAAGCUAUUUUUUUUCCUUUCAAAAUAUUUAUAGAUUUGGGGGCUACAAGUGCAUUCUUGUUAUAUGAAUAGAUUGUGUUGUGGUGAAGUCUGGACUUUUAGUGUAAUCAUCACCUGAAUCGGUUAAGUUGUACCCAAUGGGUAAUUUCUCAUCUAUCACCUCCAUCCUACUCUCCUAAAUUUUACAGUCUCCAAUGUCCAUCAUUCCACUCUGUACAUCCAUGUGUACCCAUCGCUUAGCUCCUACGAAUAAGUGAGAACAUGAGGCAUUUGAAACAGUUAUUAUUAAAUUCUCUCUGUAACAUAAUUCCCUUACCAGAUUUUUGGUGAUUAAAAUAACAAAAUACAUAUUCAAGACAGAUUAAAAUAUCAGUAGAUCCAAGUUUUUUAUUAGUUUCUGCUAAAUCACUUAUUUCCUUGAGUUUGGGAACAAGAAGACACAGGCUCAGAUAUGCAUUCUUGUUUGUAAAUAGCAGUUCCUUAUGCUGGCUUGUGUAGUCAGGGAUGCAAUUUAUUUAAGGAUAUCAGAUGGCUCUUAGAAUCAACAGUGUAGAGAACAAACCACACACACACACACACACACACACACACACACACACACACACACACACACAAGGGAUACUGGGCUGUAGGACCCACAUUCAGGUCAUGAUGCAGAACUUAUCUGAGGGCACUGAUACAUUACCAGUGAACUGGCCAACAGGCAUUUGGCAUGGGCACAUUGGGCUGGCAGAGUGUAGAUUAUAUGGCCAUAAUCUGCCUGCCAGGGAGUAGAGAGGGGGACUUACAGUGUAUAAGGAAAGGUGGGAAACAGUCUUCAUCAUAGUCUUUCAUCAAUAGUCUUCAUGAUCACAAAUACCUACAUACAUGAAAGGAAUUCACACCUUGGGAGGCAAGCAAAAGACAUCACCGCCGGGUAAUAUACACUAAAGAAUAAAAACCUGAAUGGCCUUUUCUUCCUGCUAAGUAAUAACACCACUUCACUGUUGUUUUGUUCAUUAUACAUGAAGUUUGACUGGUCAUGUGCCCUAGAUACUGCCCUAGAUACUUGGUGCCCUAGAUACUGCCUUCAAAUGAGUAUUUUAAAAAUUUGCAUAAUGUGUUCCUUCAUCUUCAAAGGAACCCCAAUAUUUAAAUAACACAUUAAUACACUUUCUUAUUGUGGUAGACAGAGUAAUGUCCCCCCACUCCCAAAGAUGUCUACAUCCUAAUCUUUAUACCCAAUGAAUAUGUUACCUGAAACAUAUUCUUACCUGAAAAACAUAUACUUACCUGAAAUAUCUUACCUGAAAAAGAGGCUUUGCAGAUAGGAUUAAAGUUAAGAACCUAUAUAGGGGAGAUUAUCCUGGAUUAACUAGGUGGGCUCAAUCUAAUGACAUGAAUUCUUGAAAAGUAGAGAGCCUUUCCAGCUCUAGUCAGAGAGAUUUGAUAAUAGAGAUGGGAUUAGACAGAUGCAGAAUUAUUGUCUUUGGAGGUGAAGGAAGGAAGCCUUGAGCCUGGGAAUGUAGAUAGCCUCUAGAAGUCAAAAAAGGCAAGGAAAAGGAUCCUACUUAUAUAUUCCAGAAAGCAGUCAGCCCUGCCAAUAUCUUAAGUGAAGCCCAGGGACAGCCAUUGGAAUUCUCACCUCCAGAACUGUGAGAUAAUACAAUUUUGUUCUAAGAUGCUAAAUCUGGAGUAGUUUGUUGCUGUCGUAAUUCGUUAUUGCACCAAUAGAAAAUAACAGUUUCUCUAAGUAGUAAGUCUUCUGCUCCUUGCAUUACCUGUGCACCAGGUGAGAUUCAAGAAGAGUAAAGGAUUUAUCACAAAAUGAAAUUCAGGUGUUAAACAGCUAAAGUGACCUAGCUCUUCUAAUUUCCUGUAACAAAGUUGCAUGGGUGAAGUAAUAACACUCUUCUACUGCACAUGCCUCACUGAGAAAUUGACAGUUUUGAGAACUACUUUACACCUCAUUUACCAUUUACCUGAUACACAUUGUUAGGAAGAUUUUCGGAAAAAUAAAUUUCAAGCUGCUUAUUUAAAUCUAUGGUUUAAAAAAUGAAUAUAAAUGUUUGUACCAAGAGAAAGGCUAGAUUUUAUUAUCUAAUCUUAUAAAACUUAUACCAUUAUCUCUUAUGUAAGAAUUAUCCAGCAUACAAAAUGGGAGAGGAAUCUUCAUCUCAGGGCUAGUUUAUGUUGCAAGUUGCAUGCUCUGUAUGCUCUGUAAGACAGUGCUAUUCCAAUAGAAGUAAUGCCCAAAACCAAAAGAUGAGGAAGAAGAAGAGGGGGAGGAAGAGGAGGAAGAGGGGGAGAAGAGGAUGCACACUCUAAUGAAAGCAUCUUAGAUUUGGAAGAAAGUUUAACAAAAGUUGUCUCUAGCACUUCCCCAUACUAAAAUUAUAUCAUAAAUUAGUAAAUUCAGUGUCCAAGGGAAAUAAUAUAUGGACAAUUAUUCUUCCAUGAUUGUCAGUCCUUGAUAAUGGAAAAUAUUGUGGAUGGAUCCAAUUUCAUAUAAUUAUCCAUGGUGACAUUGUUUAAUAUUUGAAAUAUCCAUGAUUUUCCAUUCUGUUUUAUGUUAGUUUUUGAACUUGUAGUAAUAUACCCAUUUUGCAGACAUGAAAAAUACACAUACUGAAAUUGUAGAUUUUGUCUCAUCAAAGAAAGAGAAACAUAUGGAUGAAAUAAUGACAAAUCAACUUCAUCUUUAAUAUAAAAAUAGUGUACUAAAAAAUCAAAUUCCAUUUAACAAAAAUUUCACUACAUUACAACUGAAAAUAAAUCCUUAGACACUUAGGAAAAUAUGUUGAAAGAGAAUUGCCUACGUUAUUUUCCUAGUGUAGCAACUGUACUGUUCGAUGUUUCAAACCAUUUCCAAAACAUUUAAAUAAAUAAUACUUUUGAACAUAUAGAGGUCUUCAUCCAGUACAACAGCAGCUACAACUCUUUUUCCGCAAUAUAUUUGACUUAAUUAUACCUCAUUUAGACUGUCCUUUCAGUUAAUUACUUAAAAGACUUUUAAAAGAUUGCUUGUAUUUAAAUCCUGAAAACCAAUCCUAUAUUUCUGUGAGACGCAGACUGCCAAGGACUUCAUAUCUUCAUAUUUUAAUAAUUUUUGCAAGUAUGACAUAUAUAAACACAAAAGCAGACAUAGCUGUAUAGCUCAAAGAAUUUUUGUUUGUUUGUUUGUUUGUUUUGAGAUGGAGUCUUGCUCUGUGGCCAGCCUAGAGUGCAAUGGCGUGAUCUCGGCUCACAGCAACCUCCGUCUCCCGGGUUCAAGAGAUUCUCCUGCUUCAGCCUCCCGAGUAGAUGGGACUACCACACCACCACUCCCAGCUAAUUUUUGUAUUUUUAGUAGAGACGGCGUUUCACCAUGUUGGCCAGAAUGGUCUCGAUCUCUUGACCUUGUGAUCUGCCUGCCUCUGCCUCCCAAAGUGCUGGGAUUACAGGCAUGAGCCAUUGCGCCCGGCCCAGCUCAAAGACUUUUAACGACAUAAACACCAUCUAGACCACGAAAUAGAAUAUUUUCAGCACCACAGGUCAUGCUUCCUAUGCUUCCUACCUUCUCCUAGGUGGCUCUUUCUUCUUUCUCUUCUUCCAUGAGGGAACCACCAACAUGAUUUUUAACACUAGAUAUAAAUUUUGCUGAUUUUUGACCUUGUUUAUAUGUCAUAACGUGUCUGCUUUCACAUCUCUCAUCUUAAGUAGAAUACUACUCAAGAUUCAUCAUGUUGCAUGUAAAAGACUUUCUAUAUUUUAAUUUAAUUAUUAUUCCAUUGUAUAAAGAAACCAAAAUGUAUUCACCAUUCUAUCUUUAUAAGCAUUAGGGGUGUGUUCUGUUCUUAGCAUUUGCUGUUAUAGUCUUCUCUUUCAUAUAUGUCUUUUGAUACGUAUAAUAUGUAUUUUUGUGCAUAUGUAACCAGAAGUACAAUUCCUGGGUCUUAGGCUAUGUGUUAGUUCAGAUUUAAUAGUUCAGAUUUAACAUUCAGAUUCAGACAUCUAAAAUGGUUAUACCAAUUUACAUUUCAACAGCAGUGCAUAAGAUUUACAGUGACUCUGUGUUGACAUGUAUAUUCUUUUACAUUUAGUCAUUUUUGGUUGCAUUUUUGUUGUAUUUUUCUUAUGAAUUUAACUUACCUAAUGGCUGAGUUUGAGUGUCUUUUCAUAUAUUUAUUGGUCAUUUGAAGACAUUCAAUAUGUUCUCUUUUGAAGUGACUCCUUAUUUUUUAGCCAAUUUAUCUAUUGAGUUAUAUUUCUUUUCUUAAAUUGUUGUUCUUACUAAUCUGU